AAGGGCCCGUCCAGGCCGAGCGCCCCGGUUGCAAAAGUUGAGCUCCGCCGCGCGCGCCCUUCGCGCUCCCCUCCGCGCGCUCCUGCGCUCCUCCUCCUCCCCGCCCUCCUUCCCCAAGUUUUCACAGAUGUGGUCAGACUCUGCUCUCCUUCCCGGCUCCUUCUUCCCUCGCGCGCCCCCACCCCCGCCCCGUCCCUCUAAUUUCCGCCACUCGGAGGAGCGCUGGGGGGGGGGGGGGGGGGGGCCGCGCGGAGCCGCGGGACGACGACGCCGCCGCCGCCGCAGGGGGCGAAGUUGGUUUAAAAACUUGGGAAGACUGCUCGCCUUACUUUGCUUUCCCGCUCCUUUCCAGGCCGCGCCCGGCGGGGUCCCGCUCCGCGCGCGCGGAUCCCAGGGCGCUGCGCUGAGGGGCGGCACUGAGGCCGCGCGUCGGGCCGGGCAGGGCUGGCGCGGGCAGCCGGGAGCCACGCGCUCCACCGCCUCCGCCCCUCCCGGGUCCUCACACAGACACAUCCAGGCCUGCUCCUCCUCUUCCCCCUCCUUGACCCCGCGCCCGCGCGGCGCGCCAGGCCCCACCCACCCGGCAGGAGGAAGGGGCCCGCGGGUGAUGUCACCCGAGCCCUCCAGGCCUGCGCUCCCGCGCAGCCGAGCAGCCGGGGCUCGCGCGCUGCCGGGCGCUUCGCCCAUGCCGCCUCUCUUCGCCCCCCACCCCCCCAACUCCGCUCUCGGGCUGGACUCCCCUUCCUUCUCUAGAGACCUCUCAGAUCGCCACUGCCCCACCCCCGCACACCUCCUGGUACUUUUCCCUAGGCCAAGCCUGAAACUUCCUCUCGCGGGAUGAUGCUUUUGAAAGUUGAAGACUUUCCUCCCCGUUGCGUUAAACUCCGUUUGGGACGUCUCGCCGUACAGCCUACUGUCCCCGUGGGCCACUUUGCAAAGAACACAAAGACCCGAGCUGGGAACCGGGACUUGAGCUGAGAACCCUGACUUGCACGGGGUUCUUUUCCUUAAGAUGCAGAGUGCCUGUCCUUGGUUUCUUUUAAAAGACCCAUGUUACUUCAACGGGCCAGUGCACUCAUCUCUCUCUUCCCAUCCAGGUACUCACCCCAACCUGUUACUUGAAAGGGAGGAUUUCAAGGGGGUGGAAGAAAGAAGAAAACCCAAGAGACAUUCCAGAAUACCGGAGUAAGCAGUUGGCCCACCAGGAGUGCCUUGGUGCUCAGGGUGCUCUGUGGCAGCCGUCUUGAAGGCAGAGUGGGUGGAUGAAUAGCUAUUAUAAUUUGAAGAACAUUUUGAAAUUCACGUGCUAAACUGGGGAAAAUUUUUAACGGAAUUGACAGUGUAUUCGUUAUUUGUUUCUGGUGACUUGUUGCUUAUGACAAAGACAAAAGCAGAGAGUGACUUAAGCUUUCAGUGUGGGGCUCCAGACACUUCUUAGCCAUUUUUAAGCUUUCUCUCCGCUACAACACUCUGUAAGGCAAAGAGUGAAACAUCCUUCACUCAUCUCGGAGUGCAGGAAUAUCAACAGAGGUAGCCCCAACCCUCCCCUCAGUAACUGGCCCCAGGCCCCAGAGUAUUCCCUCAGCCUCUGUAGACUCUGAGCCCACAGUAGAUGAGCGAGAAAAUGCAGUCCUCCUAAGUCCCGGGACGGCUAUGGAUCUCCAGUGAGAUUAUACCUGCAAAGUUAUAAAAGACGACAUCGUGUGUGAGAACUAUUUUCCUUUUUGGUAUUUCAAGUUAGUCAGAGGGAUGGUGUGUUUCAUUAAUGUCAGAUACAUUGUUUCUGGCAUUUGGGGCUGCUGCUGCCUCCACCGCGAGAAUGUAAAUACUGCAUCCUGAUAGUUUUCUCUGCUUAUCCAGUGGCAAAAGGGACAGCCCAUAAAUCACCGGGCAUAAAAUAUAAAUUUUGACUUUUACUUCUU
ensembl:processed_transcript Gm6556 predicted gene 6556